rnacentral:rRNA from 1 species
GUUUGAUCAUGGCUGAGGAUGAACGCUGGCGGCGUGCUUAACACAUGCAAGUCGAACGAUGAUCUCCAGCUUGCUGGGGGGAUUAGUGGCGAACGGGUGAGUAACACGUGAGUAACCUGCCCUUGACUCUGGGAUAAGCCUGGGAAACUGGGUCUAAUACCGGAUAUGACCAUCUGGCGCAUGUCAUGGUGGUGGAAAGCUUUUUUGUGGUUUUGGAUGGACUCGCGGCCUAUCAGCUUGUUGGUGGGGUAAUGGCCUACCAAGGCGACGACGGGUAGCCGGCCUGAGAGGGUGACCGGCCACACUGGGACUGAGACACGGCCCAGACUCCUACGGGAGGCAGCAGUGGGGAAUAUUGCACAAUGGGCGCAAGCCUGAUGCAGCGACGCCGCGUGAGGGAUGACGGCCUUCGGGUUGUAAACCUCUUUCAGUAGGGAAGAAGCGUAAGUGACGGUACCUGCAGAAGAAGCGCCGGCUAACUACGUGCCAGCAGCCGCGGUAAUACGUAGGGCGCAAGCGUUAUCCGGAAUUAUUGGGCGUAAAGAGCUCGUAGGCGGUUUGUCGCGUCUGCUGUGAAAGACCGGGGCUCAACUCCGGUUCUGCAGUGGGUACGGGCAGACUAGAGUGCAGUAGGGGAGACUGGAAUUCCUGGUGUAGCGGUGAAAUGCGCAGAUAUCAGGAGG